CAUUGAUCCUCUUUUAAGUGGACGUUGUCUUCACUGCGUGGAAAGCGAAUUUCCCCCCCUUUUUAAAGUUUUUUGUAAACUUUGUUGGUUACAUUAAUCUCAGAUCAUCGGUUUCAGCAGCUCGAGUAAUUCUUAGGAGUUGAGGCUAGAAAUAUUUUCACUCGGGCUCGAAAAUGGCGUUUUUGGUUCGUGAUUUAAGCCUAAUUCAGAGAUUUUUCAAUUCAAGUCCCUCUUGAAUCUUAGCUAUAUCUGACGUGCUGUUGGUGAUUUGAGGAUUCUUUGCCGGCGAUUUGUUUGAUAUCUGCAUCUUCCUCUUUUUUUUUUGAUCUGGAAGUGAAAAUCUCAGUUAGGUUCGUUCGGUUCUUCCUCUGAUGAAUACACGAGGCAGGUAUCCACCCGGGAUCGGCAACGGUCGUGGUGGAAAUGUAUACUCAAACCCUAACUUUCAAGCUCGAAACCCUCAGCAACAGUACGUGCAGAGGAAUAUUGUCCAAAAUCAGCAGCAGUUUCAGCAACAACAAUGGCUUAGACGGAAUCCGAUGGGAAACGAUUCUAGUUAUAAUGAGGUUGAAAAAGCAGUGCAGUCAGAAGCCGUUGAUUCUAGUUCUCAAGACUGGAAGGCACACCUCAAGAUACCGACACCUGAUACACGCUACAAGACAGAGGAUGUGACUGCUACUAAAGGAAAUGAAUUUGAGGACUAUUUUCUGAAGCGUGAAUUGCUUAUGGGAAUUUAUGAGAAGGGUUUUGAAAGGCCAUCUCCCAUCCAGGAAGAAAGUAUUCCGAUUGCCUUGACUGGUAGCGAUAUUCUUGCUAGAGCUAAAAAUGGAACGGGGAAAACAGCUGCAUUUUGCAUUCCUGCACUGGAAAAAAUUGAUCAAGACAAUAAUGUUAUUCAAGUUGUUAUAUUGGUUCCGACACGAGAAUUGGCUUUGCAGACAUCACAAGUCUGUAAGGAGCUUGGGAAGCAUUUAAAGAUUCAAGUCAUGGUUACUACAGGAGGAACUAGCUUAAAGGAUGAUAUCAUGCGUUUAUAUCAACCUGUCCAUUUGCUUGUUGGAACACCUGGCAGAAUACUUGAUCUUGCAAGAAAAGGUGUUUGCAUCCUGAAAGAUUGCUCAAUGCUUGUUAUGGAUGAGGCGGACAAGCUUUUGUCUCCAGAAUUCCAACCUUCAGUUGAGCAGCUAAUUCGUUUUCUGCAUGCAAACCGACAAAUUUUGAUGUUUUCAGCUACAUUUCCUGUAAUGGUGAAGGAUUUUAAAGACAGAUUUUUACACAAGCCUUACAUUAUCAAUCUCAUGGACGAGCUUACUCUCAAGGGUAUAACACAAUACUAUGCUUUUGUAGAAGAAAGACAAAAGGUCCACUGCCUAAACACUCUUUUCUCCAAGCUUCAAAUCAACCAGUCAAUUAUAUUUUGCAACUCAGUGAAUCGGGUAGAACUGUUGGCUAAGAAGAUUACAGAGCUUGGGUAUUCUUGCUUCUAUAUUCAUGCUAAGAUGUUGCAAGAUCAUCGAAACCGCGUAUUUCAUGACUUCAGAAAUGGUGCUUGCAGGAAUCUUGUUUGUACUGAUUUAUUUACAAGGGGGAUAGACAUUCAAGCAGUCAAUGUCGUCAUUAACUUUGACUUCCCCAAGAACUCAGAGACAUACCUGCAUAGGGUUGGUCGAUCGGGUAGGUUUGGACAUCUUGGAUUAGCUGUUAAUUUGAUCACCUAUGAGGACCGCUUCAACUUGUACAGGAUUGAACAAGAGCUUGGGACUGAAAUAAAGCAAAUUCCUCCACAAAUAGACCAGGCUAUUUACUGCAGGUGACAUGUGGUGGUAAUCUCUCCCUCAACAAUGAUGAGUAAAAGCAAAGAUCUGGCUGGUGUACACACCGAGGAAUAUAAAGGUUGGGUAAGCUUCCUGUACCAGGAGGUAUAUCUUUAGGCUGGAUCCUCAUGAUUCAUGGUUGUCUCCUGUACGUCUGAGCUUGUAGAUUUACAUAAUGCUGAGACAUACAUUAGGCUGUAAGAAGCAGCCAGCUUUAGAAUGGUUUAUAAUCCAGAGGAUUGGAUCUCUUAUGCUGGAUUAACGUAACAAUUCUGUGCUUUAGUACCAAGCAUAUUUUUGGUGCUCUUUUUAUCUAUGGAUUUGUCAUUUUCC